rnacentral:rRNA from 1 species
AUAUUCAUUCAACAAAAAUAAAUUAAUUUAAAAAAUUUUGGUCCUUUCGUACUAAAAUAUUUAAUAAUUGAAGAUAGAACCAACCUGCUCACGACGGUUGAGCUCUGAUCUGUUA